rnacentral:lncRNA from 1 species
AGAUUCAGUUGCCUUGCUUCGUUGUUAAUGCUAGUUUUAUAGUGUCAAAGAAAAACCAGAGCUGGACAGUAGUUAAAGAGUUCCGUUUCUGAUUAUCACUCAUCUUUGAAAGGAUUGUCUGGUCAUAACUCGCAAUGACCUCAACUAUUCGGAGGAAAGAGACCCAGAAAGUGAGCUGAAGCAGCAGGCAGUUUCAACUCAGGGGACUAAGCUGAGGUAACAGUAAUUUGAGAAAUCUUUGAGUUCGUGGAAACUCUGAAAACCUCAGAACACUUUCUAGCACUCUCUGUUAAGGGCUCUGCCUGUGAACAUAUCUCUUACCAGUGUUUUCAACAUUCUCUGUGCUAUCCUUGGGUGAGCAGGUUGCCUUUCUUUUUACUGACAAAGAUUUUCACGUGUGCUGAUGUUUCCUUCCUUCAUUUUUUCACUCAUUUAUAUUUCCCUUCAAAGACGCACUAUAAAUUAGUGGUUAUGAGCACAAACUCUGG